rnacentral:lncRNA from 1 species
AUUAAGUCCAGUUUGCAAUGCCCAUAUACCCCUGGGUAUGGGGCCAUCCACUGGACCUAGCAAGGCCCACACUUUCUCUUUUCCCAGAAUGAAUUCGCUGUCAACAGCGCCUCAGUCAGAGGUGUGGUUUGUGAGCCCCUUCGCCUCUAAGGCAACUGUCCUGUCACAUCCAAAGGACAAUGCUUUGCUCCCAACCUUGAGUAAAUAUAAGGAUCUGCUCAGACUUGGAGUUCUUACAAGGAAACAGAGCCUUGCAUACCUCAGCUGCCCUGCGGUUUCCUUUACUUCAGUCAUUACCAACCCUGUCUACUGAACCCUUUGAAGUCAUUGAUACAUAUUGUAAGAACUUCUGACUUCUGGCCUUAAAAUUGGGUCAUAGAAGCCAUGAAUCCAUUUAAAGUCCCACUUCAGUUUUUCUGUGCUCCAAUAUAGUUCUGUCCCUUGUGUGCUCUGGGGAUGUUAUUCUUUCCCAGAAUGCCCCUCUUUACAGAGGACUUUUGACUGAUCUUAAAAUAAAAUGAG